rnacentral:lncRNA from 1 species
UAUGUUAGCUAUAUCUACAGUGUUAUGUUAGCUAUAUCUACAGUGUUAUGUUAGCUAUAUCUACAGUGUUAUGUUAGCUAUAUCUACAGGGUUAUGUUAGCUAUAUCUACAGUGCUGUUAGCUAUAUCUACAGGGUUAUGUUAGCUAUAUCUACAGGGUUAUGUUAGCUAUAUCAUCAGUGUUAUGUUAGCUAUAUCUACAGGGUUAUGUUAGCUAUAUCUAGUGUUAGCUACCCCUUGACUUUUUACACAUUUUGUUACGUUACAGCCUUAUUAAAAAACGGAUUAAAUAGUUUUUUUCACUCAUCACUCUACACACAAUACCCCAUAAUGACAAAGCAAAAGGUUUCAUUUUUAUUUGCACAUUUAUUAAAAAUAAGAAACAGAUACCUUAUUAACCUAAGUAUUCAGACCCUUUGCUAUGAGACUAAAGAUUGAGCUCAGGUGCAUCCUGUUUCCGUUCAUCAUCCUUGAGAUGUUUCUACAACUGGAUUGGAGUGCACCUGUGGUAAAUUAAAUUGAUUGGACAUAAUUUGGAAAGGCACCUGUCUAUAUAAGGUCCCACAGUUGACAAUGCACGUCAGAGCAAAAAGCAAGCCAUGAGGUCGAAGAAAUUGUCCGUAGAGCUCCGAGACAGGAUUGUGUCGAGGCACAGAUCUGGGGAAGGGUACCAACACAUUUCUGCAGCAUUGAAGGUCCCCAAGAACACAGUGGCCUCCAUCAUUCUUCAAUGGAAGAAGUUUGGAACCAACAAGACUUUUCCUAGAGCUGGCCGCUCGGCCAAACUGAGCAAUCGGGGGAGAAGGGCCUUGGUCAGGGAUGUGACCAAGAAUCCGAUGGUCACUCUGACAGAGCUCCAGAGUUCCUCUGUGGUGAUGGGAGAACCUUCCAGAAGGGCAACCAUCUCUGCAGCACUCCACCAAUCAGGCCUUUAUGGUAGAGUGGCCAGACGGAAGCCACUCCUCAGUAAAAGGCACAUGACAGCCCGCUUGGAGUUUGUCAAAAGACACCUAAAGUACUCAGACCAUGAAAAACAAGAUUCUCUGGUCUGAUGAAACGAAAAUUGAACUCUUUGGCCUGAAUGGAAAGCGUGAACGGAGCAAAGUACAGAGAGAUCCUUGAUGAAAACCUGCUCCAGAGUGCUUAGGACCUCAGACCGGGGUGAAGGCUCACCUUUCAACAGGACAACGACCCUUAGCACACAGCCAAGACAACGCAGGACUGGCUUGAAUGUUCUUGAGUGGCCCAGCCAGAGCCCAGACUUGAACCCGAUCGAACAUCUCUGGAGAGACCUGAAAAUAGCUGUGCAGCAAUGCUCCCCAUCCAACCUGACAGAGCUUGAGAGGAUCUGCAGAGAAGAAUGGGCAAAACUCCGCCAAAUACAGGUGUGCCAAGCUUGUAGCGUCAUACCCAAGAAGACUCCAGGCUGUAAUCGCUGCCAAAGGUGCUUCAUCAAAGUACUGAGUAAAGAGUCUGAAUACAAAUGUAAAUGUGGUAUUUCAUUUAUUUAUUUUUUAUACAUUUGCAAAAAAUUCUAAAAAACUGUUUUUGCUUUGGAAUUAUGUGGUAUUGUGUGUAGAUUGAUGAGGUCAUUUUUUGUUUAUCAAUUUUAGAAUAAGGCUGUAACUUAACAAAAUAUGGAAAAAGUCAAGGGGUCUAAAUACUUUCUGAAUGCACUGUGUAGAUGUAUAGAUAGAUAAACCUUCACUAAAAGGUGCUUCCUUUAGAGUGGGGCUCUUGGUUUCAUCCAAAAUGGCACCCCAUUCCCUAUACUGUGUAGUGUACUUCUUUUAACCAUGGCCUAUAGGGCUUUGGCAAAAGUACUGCACUAUAUAGGGAAUAGGUUGCCAUUUGGGACGCAACUUAUGGCUCUUGUACAGUAACCCCUAGUAACAGUAGAAGGGGAUAUCUAUUUAGUGGGAUGUUUUACUGAGUAGCGCAGAAGCUAGUGUCUACCCAUGAGCACUUUUCUCAACUUAUUUUCUCUCUCCUUCUCUGCUUAUUUCUUCCACAUUUCUCUCUCUCCUCUUUCUUCCCUCUUCCCCGCGGGACUGUUUUCUCUUCUGCUUCGUUCUUUCCUUCCGUUCCUCUUCAGCGGAGGUGUCUCGCUACCAUAGUUACCUGCGGUUGCCGUGGGAAUAGCAGCUGUCUGUCAGUCACGCUCCUGUUGUCAGGCUAUCGUCAAGGGGUAGUUGACGGAUGAAAGUUUUGAUUAUGAAGAUCAUUAUUUGAAAGUUUAUUUAUUUAUUAGUUUAUUUAUUUAUUAGUUUAUUUAUUUAUCAGGGUUUGUCUGGUUGAAAUGAAAACAUUAAACAUUUUAAACUGUAAGAAAAAUGUUCACUCAGCCUUCUCUCGCGCUCUCCUCUCUCUCUCUCUCUCUCUCUCUCUCUCUCUCUCUCUCUCUCUCUCUCUCUCUCCCUCUCUCUCCCCUCUCUCUCCCUCCCUCUCUCUCCUCUCUCUCCUCUCUCUCUCUCCCUCUCUCCUCUCUCUCUCUCAUCUCUCUCUCCUCUCUCUCUCUCUCCUCUCUCUAUGCUGUUCAGUAGAUUGAAAUAAUAACACACGAGUCGUCUGUUGAGUUGGUACCUCAAACAAAGUUUUAAUUAAGCUUGGAGAAAAAUAAAGACAAAUGUUUGGUCUUUCUGAACAACUAACCAACGCUUUGACCUUGUUUCCUGAAAAGUACAUCUAUAGUCUCUCUACAAAGUUUUCCCAACAACACAUUAUAAUGGAAUGAGAUAAAAGUCAUGCAAUUAUGGAAGACAGUGUACACCACACACACACACACACACACACACACACACACACACACACACACACACACACACACACACACACACACACACACACACAUACACACACACACACACACACACACACACACACACACACACACACACACACACACACACACAGUAAUAAGACAAAGAUAUACACACAGUCCAGAUGUAGUUUCUUAAUGUUGUUUUGUUCUCUGUAGUUCUCUCUUGUCUUAACAUCUUAAAUAACAUAAAGUCCACAGGAACUUCUUUAAUCCAAAUAAAAGGAAUAAUAAAAUCAUUAAAAAAAAUAUAUAAUAAUACAUUAUAUUAGAAUGAAACAUCCAUAAAUCCAUAUCACUUUUGUGAAGUCUUUUUUUAAAGAAAAGAAAAGGAAUAUAAAACUAACGUAUCAACACAAACAGAGCCAAGGAAUCGCAUAGCAACGAGAUAAGGGAGUGGAACCAAUCAGUAGAAAGAAAGACUGACAUGUGACUGGUAGGGGGCAUAAACAGUGGCGUGAUGCUAUACAUGUACUGUCUAUAUCACCAGAGGUGGAAAAGUACCUAAUUGUCAUACUUGAGUAAAAGUAAAGAUACUUUAAUAGAAAAUGACUCAAGUAUAAGUGAAAGUCACCCACUUAUAUACUACUUGAGUCUUAAAGUAUUUGGUUUUAAAUAUACUUAUAUCAAAAGUAAAAGUAUAAAUAAUUUAAAAUACCUUAUAUUAAGGAAACCAAACGGCACCAUUUGUGUUUUUUAAAUGUACGUAUAGCCAGGGACACACUCUAACACUAAGAUAUAAUUUAUAAACGAAGCGUGUGUGUUUAGUGAGUCCGUCAGAUCAGAGGCAGUAGGGAUGACCAGGGAUGUUCUCUGUUUAGUGAGUCCUCCAGAUCAGAGGCAGUAGGGAUGACCAGGGAUGUUCUCUGUUUAGUGAGUCCUCCAGAUCAGAGGCAGUAGGGAUGACCAGGGAUGUUCUCUGUUUAGUGAGUCCUCCAGAUCAGAGGCAGUAGGGAUGACCAGGGAUGUUCUCUGUUUAGUGAGUCCUCCAGAUUGAUAAGUGUGUGAAUUGGACCAUUUUCCUGUCCUGCUAAGCAUUCAAAAUGGGUGUCAGGAAAAAUGUAUGGAGUAAAAAAGUACAUUAUUUUCUUUAGGAAUGUAGUGAAGUAGAAGUUGUAUAAGUAGUAAAGUAUAGAUACCCCCCAAAAACUACUUAAGUAAUAGUUUCAAGUUUUUUUACUUAAGUACUUUACAUAAAUGGGCAUACACACACACACACACACACACACACACACACACACACACAAAGGGAAUGGGCUGUACUGAUAUGGGCAAACACAGACGAUAACACAGACAAAAAACUAACAACAAACAGACUAAUAAUCAAACAACAACAAAAAAAAACAAUUAAAAUAAACAAACAAACAAAAACAAUACAGUUACCUAACUGUUACCUGACUGUUACCUAACUGUUACCUGAC